GAUGAACGCUGGCGGCGUGCUUAACACAUGCAAGUCGAACGGAAAGGCUCCUGCUUGCAGGGGUACUCGAGUGGCGAACGGGUGAGUAACACGUGGGUGAUCUGCCCUGCACUUCGGGAUAAGCCUGGGAAACUGGGGCGAAUACCGGAGAGGACGAUGGGUUGGAUGCGGUUGUGGAAAGAUUUUUCGGUGUGGGAUGAGCUCGCGGCCUAUCAGCUUGUUGGUGGGGUAAUGGCCUACCAAGGCGUCGACGGGUAGCCGGCCUGGGAGCGUGUACGGCCACAUUGGGCCUGCGAUACGGCCCAGACUCCUACCGGCCGCAGCAGUCGGGAACCUUGCACAAUGGGCGCAAGCCUGAUGCAGCGACGCCGCGUGCGGGAUGACGGCCUUCGAGUUGUAAACUCCUUUCGCUAGGGCCGAACCGCACGUGACGGUACCUGGAGAAGAAGCACCGGCUAACUACGUG
rnacentral:rRNA from 1 species